UAACAAAUGUCUCACUUAGCCACAGAAAUUUUGGGCUUAAUUGUGUUGUAGGUCGAGGACUACCUGUAUUGGAAAAAGUGCAGGGGAGGGAGUCAGGAAGUGCUAGUUGGGGAAUCACUGAAAGGAAACACAAGGUUGAUCCGGGGAUUGCAGUGGCUGGACAAGGCCUGUAACAAGAACGGCAAUGCCUCCAAAGCGAAGGAAGGAAAAACCGGGGGAAUUGGGGGCGGGGUGCGUGGAGAAUCACGACCACGGGCCAGUGAAGGAAGUGAUAAAGCCAGGGCACCGAGCCCUUCUCUUACAACACGAAAUCCUUUCUUCACCGGGUGGAAAUGACUACGACUGGCAAUUUUGCAGGCAUUAAGGACGUGGAGUCAGGUAGAAGUCGAUUAAUUGCCUCCCGAGAACGACCGAGACCCCCACAGAGGCAGGUCACUUUUUAAUCAAAAAGUUGCUCAGUUUUAAAAACCCGAAAGGGCGGCUACAAACAACCUGCGAUGAGUCGCCGAAGAGUAAAACACCCACAAUGCUGAGAACAGGACGUGCUAGACCCGUCUUUAUAAGUAGUCUUUUCACUGUGCUGGAACCUUGUUCGGAACUGGGCAAGUCUCCAUAUCCUAUUUCCAUUUUUCUACAAGAAAAGUCUGGUUUGGAAUAGACCAUGGAAUGAAUUUUCUUGGCAACAAUCCUCACUACACCUGUCCGAUUAAUCUGGUUGAAUUUAGUGAGGUCUUUGCUGAAUGCAUGCUUUUAAUAUCACAGGAUUAAAUUCCAUUGAACUCGAAUAGAUCGGGGAACUUUUGACCGUCAUUGAUGUUACUUUUUCUCUUGAGCAAGCCUAUCCUUCCUAAAACAGCAGAAAGAAUUUCAGAGAAAAUAUAAAAAUUAUCCUACGGUACAUGAAAAAAAUAUGCAAUUUUGGAUUAUUAUAAUGUGUAGUUCCCAUUUCUGUAAAAUGGGGGUAAUACAACUUUACUUUAUUAUGUGAGUAAAUGAGCUCAGUCUACAAAGUGGAAAAUACUCCAGAUUUCCUAAUAUACAUGGAAUAAACUGAUAGGGUAUUUCAAGUUGAUUAAUUUCAAAAAGCUUACCGUGGAAAACAAAGUUAAGCAGCAGGUGCCUUGGGCCAAAAAAAAAAAACCUGAAUAAAGUUUUAUGUUCACAGAUGCACAAGCAAUAUAAUAUAAAAAGCAGCUGAGGAACUGACUUGUUUGAAGUAACAUGCUUAUCCAUUAGGGAACUAAAAGAUGAGGAUGUAUGUAAGCAAGAUGAUGUACAUGCCCACCCUCUAGGCAGGUUUGUAGAAUGACUUGUCUCCUUGAAUAGUAAAAGAGUAGAGAAAUCUAUAGUCACUUGUACACAACUUAAUUAUUUACAUUUGUUUAAAGAGGGUGGAUUGAAAGUCCAAAUGAUUAAAUUGCUUACUAGAGUAAUCAGUUGGACCAUCACUGCACAGAUGGUAUGUUUAAGUUAACUAUGAUCCUUUCUAAGAAGUAUGACUUGGAAUUCUGAGUUCCAGUCACUUCUGUCAUUAUUCUGAGCCUAUAUCUUUAAAUAUUCAGUAAUUAAAGUCUGUUGAUAUAAAGGCAGGUUAAACAAAUGCCAACUCAUUCAUUAAUUUGAUUAUUUGAUUGUUAUCAAAUUAAUAAAAUGGUUAUACAAAUAUAGAAAAGUUAAUGGAUUUUUCUAAGCAAAAACAAAAAACAAAACUGGCCAAAUGCCAGUAAUGCUUGUAUUUCCAAAGAGUUCCAUCUGUGCACCAAUUGUUCAUCAAUUAAUAAUGAAUUUAAUUCUAUUUUAUUGAAACUUGGAGAAAUGUAUAUGUUUUUUCCAGUGUUCUACAUUUUUUCCUGUAAAUUUAUGUUGCAAUUAUAAACUUUAAAAUUACGUGUUCCGGGUGUGGAGAUCUAUAAUGCAUUGAUAUUGGAAAGCUUAAAAAUAAUUUUUGAAAGGUAAAACUGUCAAAAGUUAACAUUUUUUACUUUUUAUCCUGAAAGCUUUUUACACACUCGGUGAAGUGCAAGGAAUUCAUUUAUGGAUGCACAGAAUUUAUUUCCAUUUUCUUGAUAAUUGUUCUUUUGUCUUCUGUUAAGGUUGUGCUUCUGAUAGUGACCCAUUUCUUUUCCAUAAAAUAAAUGCUAGGUCAUCAUCUUAAAAAGACUUUUCAUAGAUCCCCUCCUAUACUGGAGUGUAAAACUAGACAGAUUUCUUUUAAAAAAAAUUGGGCAAAGUAGCUACAAAGAUCUGAUACCAAGAUGAACAUCCAACAAUUGAAAGAAGAUGUGUUUGACAGGGUAGCAUAGAAACCACUUACCUAUAACAUCGCUAAGAGUCAUAAAUGGUUAAAAAAAAAAUAACAGUGGCAAAGGUACCUCACCAGUGAAUCUUCUACCUUCUUUCUCAUCCAAAUGUAUUUGAAGAUGUUAGGGUUUUAUUUAGUGGUAUCAAAACAGGUAAUAUUCAGUAUUGUUUUGACUGCAUUGUUGCUUGAUAUGAUUAAGUGUUUUCACUGUAUUUUUAAUCAUAUGUAAGAUACAUCAAACUCUCUCUGACUCAAAGCUGAAUAAAUUGGUUCCACUGCAACCCUCCACAUGAGUCAGGGCAGGGGAGAGUUUUGCCUGAGGGCUGUGCAUAAGAACUUGGCAUGUGCCUUUGAAGAGGCCACAACAAGGUAUUUACCAUGUAUUUUCACAUACGCAGCCAGAAUGAGAGUUCAAAUGAAUCACAUUCAUAUAAUAGCUAGAUACCUACGCUGUUAUCAGCAUACGCUACUACUAGUUCCAGCUAAAUGCUAGUGGUGUGCACCUUAUCUUUGUAUUUACCCUUGUUAUGACUAUAUUUUCUCUCAGAUUCCUGGAAAGUAAGGAAAAUCUAAGCUUAGAAAUGACAACUUUGCACAUGAUGGCAAUCAGAACAAGGAGGAAAAGGCAAGGCCUUACUACUUUAAAUGCAACAGAGAAAAGAUUCUUAUAUUCACUAUUGCUUGAUAGUCUGUAUUGAUUUGCUCAAAUCCCAUAAGAGUUCCUUGUGAUCUAAUUAAUUUCCUCUUUUCAAUUGUACAGGAAAAUUAAAUGUUUGCUGAAACUACUAAGUAGUUAAAAUUGUAUUUGAUCUGGGAUGAGAUUAGUCAGAAAUCCUUUACCAAUGAAUGUAUUCUAAUUAUAUUUUAAACCUUUAGUAACAGUUCUGCAAAUAAAGUCACUCUUAGAUACUGA